GCUAGCCUGAACUCGGUUAAUUCAGAAACUUGACACCGCCCCCCAAAAAAGUGAGCGGUGAAUUUGCCGUCACGAAACAGCAGCUUACGCUACGGUGCACAGCUUUCGUCUCGCUCUAGGCUGCGUGUUAUGGCACUGCUGGCUGUUGGGAUGCAAUGUUUCAACGCUGCAUGGUUUCUGCCCGGCGACACCACCCGAAUUCGACAGUUGUUGCUUCCUCUUACGUGUUCCAGGCAUGAGGAGGUGUCGAAACCCAUGACGUCACAGCGAACCAGUGCAGGAACAUCAAGGCAGCGCCACCACCUGUCCUUCGAUUUUACUUUUCCUGCUUAUCAAGUCUCCUCCCACGUGGUGGCCGCGGGAAUCGACUCCUGGACCUCCUGCUCAGCCGUCCGACGCCAUAUAACCAUUGAUGCACCAUGUCGGCUAAGAGCGUAAGUGCCAUAGGAGUUUCACUUCCGGACACUGUGCGCUAACGUGUACGUGCCAGCAGAGAAAUCAUUCUUGGAAGCCGGGUCAACUCAGUGUACACACUGAGAAGAGCUUCACGUCAGGCAACUGUAAGCCUUCCCGUGCGUAAGCCGUAUUGUUUACCGCGGGGCGGCCCCGUGCAGUGUCCAGGGAACGAGCGUUCGGCGUCAUCCCCUGCUCCUAUAAUAGGGCGCGGAUACAGUCUGGCGUAACGCGGUCAUGCACCGCGCGCGCCGCUGCAGUUACGCUAUACACGCUGGCGGAAAGUGGACGUUCAGCGCAGCGUUUACGGCGACGCGAGCGUGAG